AGCGUGUCCCUGUCCACAGCCCCAUGAGCCCUGAGGAGUGGAGUCACACGUGAAGGGUAUCCAGGCUGCAGAGCUGCCUGCAGUGUGAGCAUCAUGUGUGGGUCCAGCCCUAGUUGCUGCCGUUGUAGACACCACUGUUCUGGGGUCAGUCUUGGGAGGCACAGACGUCAGUGUGUCUGGCCUCAUUCCACGUCAGUCCUGUGUUCCUGACAUAGUGUGUGUUUCCCAGGCAGGCCGUGGUUGGGGCCUGGCAGAGGCCAGUGGGAGCACUGGGCCAGGCUGGGGUGAGGGCUGCUCCCGUUUUCUGUGUAACUGGUGAGCCUGAGAAAGGAGUGUGUUCUGCCUGCCUGUUACCAUGGAGGUUCCGUGUCCAUAACACGUUUCCUGACCGGGUGUGUUUACUGGGUGCCCAUUGAUAUUAAUCUCUGCAGAGUAUCCUGAGCAUGGCCCAAGUCACAAGACAGCGCCGAAGCAUGCCUGACCGCUCCCUGCAUGGAGGGUGCUGUGUCCCGCCAGCUGGGGGGUGGUCCUCUGGCCCCGCUGUCAUGCCCACAGCACCUCCUGCAGGGUGCCCUGCUCCAGGACCAAGUUAAGAAGCCACACCUUCCAGAGGCCGGGCGCAGAUGGGACCUCAGUCAUCCUGGGAACACAGGCAUUUGUGACUGAAAAAGCCCUGGGGGUCGUGUCCAGCAUGCAGUGGCUGGGCUCUGACAACAUGCAGCCACGGGGCUGACCCUCGCUGGCUAUUGACAGUGGCGAGCGGGGUGACCAGUGCUCUGUGUGGCCUGGGUAAGGGUUCUCAAGUCUCUCCUGGGCCUGGUGGAAGGGGAUCCGAAGCCAUUGCCUCUGGACAGCAUGAGGAAGCCACAGCAAUGGACUCACAGGAAGAGUUUGUGAACAGGGCUCAGACAUUGGGCACAGCCUGGACUGUGCAGGAAGCAGGCCCCAUGGGCGUCAGCAGAGCUGCAGCCACCAUCCUGGCCCUGGAUGCUGCCACAUGCACCAUUCCUACAGCUGCCUGCAGGCUCUGCACCCCACCCCAAUUCUGGGAGGGUGCCCUGGCUGCACGGAGGCUGGGAAAGGCAGCAUCCGGAGUCCCAAGUUUGGUGCGGUGGUGUGCCAUGCCCUCUUCCACCAGGGCUCCAGAGGCCAGGAUUACCUCAACAGGACAGACGCUUCCCGCAGACGGGGUAUGGCCUCGGGGAGCUUGGGCUAACAGGACAGACGCUUCCCACAGAUGGGCCCCGGGAUAUGGCCUCAGGGAGCUUGGGCUAACAGGACAGACGCUUCCCGCAGACGGGUCCCAGAGUAUGGCCUCAGGGAGCUUGGGCUAACAGGACAGACGCUUUCCGCAGACGGGUCCCGGGAUAUGCCCUCGGGGAGCUUGGGCUAACAGGACAGACGCUUUCCACAGAUGGGUCCUGGGGUACGGCCUUGGGGAGCUUGGGCUCAGGAACAAUUUGGCUCCUGAGAGCGGGUUGUUGUGGAAUGGGCUUCCUUCAUCCAAGCUCUGAAUUCCCCUCUCUACCUGCUGUGAGUGGAGGAGCCCUCGCCGUAUGCUGGGGCCCUGGCUUCAACUUUCCAGCUCCAGGACCAUGAGCUAAAUAAACCUUGUUUCUUUCAAGUUAGCCA
rnacentral:lncRNA from 13 species